GGCAUUGCACUAAGCUGGUUUAAGUCCUAUUUAGCUGAUCGAUCUCAAUUUUUUAAUGUUAAGUAUGAGG